GAUGAACGCUGGCGGCGUGCCUAAUACAUGCAAGUCGAGCGAACGGACGAGAAGCUUGCUUCUCUGAUGUUAGCGGCGGACGGGUGAGUAACACGUGGAUAACCUACCUAUAAGACUGGGAUAACUUCGGGAAACCGGAGCUAAUACCGGAUAAUAUUUUGAACCGCAUGGUUCAAAAGUGAAAGACGGUCUUGCUGUCACUUAUAGAUGGAUCCGCGCUGCAUUAGCUAGUUGGUAAGGUAACGGCUUACCAAGGCAACGAUGCAUAGCCGACCUGAGAGGGUGAUCGGCCACACUGGAACUGAGACACGGUCCAGACUCCUACGGGAGGCAGCAGUAGGGAAUCUUCCGCAAUGGGCGAAAGCCUGACGGAGCAACGCCGCGUGAGUGAUGAAGGUCUUCGGAUCGUAAAACUCUGUUAUUAGGGAAGAACAUAUGUGUAAGUAACUGUGCACAUCUUGACGGUACCUAAUCAGAAAGCCACGGCUAACUACGUGCCAGCAGCCGCGGUAAUACGUAGGUGGCAAGCGUUAUCCGGAAUUAUUGGGCGUAAAGCGCGCGUAGGCGGUUUUUUAAGUCUGAUGUGAAAGCCCACGGCUCAACCGUGGAGGGUCAUUGGAAACUGGAAAACUUGAGUGCAGAAGAGGAAAGUGGAAUUCCAUGUGUAGCGGUGAAAUGCGCAGAGAUAUGGAGGAACACCAGUGGCGAAGGCGACUUUCUGGUCUGUAACUGACGCUGAUGUGCGAAAGCGUGGGGAUCAAACAGGAUUAGAUACCCUGGUAGUCCACGCCGUAAACGAUGAGUGCUAAGUGUUAGGGGGUUUCCGCCCCUUAGUGCUGCAGCUAACGCAUUAAGCACUCCGCCUGGGGAGUACGACCGCAAGGUUGAAACUCAAAGGAAUUGACGGGGACCCGCACAAGCGGUGGAGCAUGUGGUUUAAUUCGAAGCAACGCGAAGAACCUUACCAAAUCUUGACAUCCUUUGACAACUCUAGAGAUAGAGCCUUCCCCUUCGGGGGACAAAGUGACAGGUGGUGCAUGGUUGUCGUCAGCUCGUGUCGUGAGAUGUUGGGUUAAGUCCCGCAACGAGCGCAACCCUUAAGCUUAGUUGCCAUCAUUAAGUUGGGCACUCUAAGUUGACUGCCGGUGACAAACCGGAGGAAGGUGGGGAUGACGUCAAAUCAUCAUGCCCCUUAUGAUUUGGGCUACACACGUGCUACAAUGGACAAUACAAAGGGCAGCGAAACCGCGAGGUCAAGCAAAUCCCAUAAAGUUGUUCUCAGUACGGAUUGUAGUCUGCAACUCGACUACAUGAAGCUGGAAUCGCUAGUAAUCGUAGAUCAGCAUGCUACGGUGAAUACGUUCCCGGGUCU
rnacentral:rRNA from 1 species